rnacentral:rRNA from 1 species
UACAGAGGUCUCAAGCGUUGUUCGGAUUCAUUGGGCGUAAAGGGCGCGUAGGUGGCGCCGUAAGUCAGGUGUGAAAUCUCGGGGCUCAACCCCGAAACUGCACUUGAUACUGCGGUGCUCGAGUACUGGAGAGGAGACUGGAAUUUACGGUGUAGCAGUGAAAUGCGUAGAGAUCGUAAGGAAGACCAGUGGCGAAGGCGGGUCUCUGGACAGUUCCUGACACUGAGGCGCGAAGGCGAGGGGAGCAAACGGG